CAAUGGCGGAAUUUAAAAGCGGUUGCAAAUACGUCUACCGACCUAUUAGAUUCUAAUUUACUGGUCACACUGCUAUAGUCUACCCACCUUGGUAAUAUCGAAAUAGACAAAAAAUAUCAUUACUUAAAAGAAACAUUCAUUCAAACAAUCCAAUCCAAUACAGCUCCAAAUUACAAUGAAUAUUCAAAUGGUAAAAUCAAUAAUCCAAACAAAUUAAAAUGUACAAAUGCUGAUGUCCCGCUCUUUGAAGAUACCAACUGAGUAGCCUCAGACUAUAAAUUGGACAACUUCAGAUACAAC
rnacentral:lncRNA from 1 species